rnacentral:rRNA from 1 species
AUUGAACGCUAGCGGGAUGCCUUACACAUGCAAGUCGAACGGCAGCGCGGACUUCGGUCUGGCGGCGAGUGGCGAACGGGUGAGUAAUGUAUCGGAACGUGCCCAGUAGCGGGGGACAACCACUCGAAAGAGUGGCUAAUACCGCAUACGCCCUACGGGGAAAGGGGGGAGUCGCAAGACCUCUCACUAUUGGAGCGGCCGAUAUCGGAUUAGCUAGUUGGUGGGGUAAAGGCCUACCAAGGCGACGAUCCGUAGCUGGUCUGAGAGGACGACCAGCCACACUGGGACUGAGACACGGCCCAGACUCCUACGGGAGGCAGCAGUGGGGAAUUUUGGACAAUGGGGGAAACCCUGAUCCAGCCAUUCCGCGUGUGCGAUGAAGGCCU